UUUUACUAAAAUUUAAAAUGCAAAUAUCUUAACUCAUUGGUCUAAUGGUUAAGGCUGUGGAUUUGUAAUCCAAAGGUUACGAGUUCAAACCCCACUUACACCAACUAAACUUUUGUAACUAAUUUAACUAAUUUACAUAAAGUAUUUAAAUUAGCCUCACUUCUAACACUUGUUUAUCACAUGACAUCCCUAAGGAAGCACAUGGUCUAAAAAAGCAUGCCCUUCAGUCUGUGCCUGACCACCAUGCUGGAAAGUUGCUUCACCUCACUGUCUGCGAAUAACUGCAUGUCAAGAAACAAAUUUUUUUUAACCUCAUCAGAGCUCAUCAGUUUUCAACGUAGCCUGAUUCGUUGUCCAAGUGCUCAACAAGUUUCAAGGAUGAAAUGCUCAUGAAUCUCGUGAAUUGUUAAAUUGUAACCUGCACAGAUGUAAUAAACUCUGAUGCGAG